rnacentral:misc_RNA from 1 species
GAUGAAAACGCAGCGAAAUGCGAUAAGUAAUGCGAAUUGCAGAAUUCAGUGAAUCAUCGAAUCUUUGAACGCACAUUGCGCCCGCUAGUAUUCUGGCGGGCAUGCCUGUCUGAGCGUCAUUUCAACCCUCGCCCCCGGCUUUUGCUGGGAGCGGUGUUGGGGAUCGGCCGCCCGUCACUGGGAGGCCGGCCCCGAAAUAGAGUGGCGACCACGCCGUGUGCUCCUCUGCGUAGUAGUAAAUCACCUCGCAGGCGGACAGCGGUGCGGCCUGCCGUAAAACCCCCAACUCUUUCUGGUUGACCUCAGAUCAGGUAGGAAUACCCGCUGAACUUAAGCAUAUCAAUAAGCGGAGGA